UACGGAGGGUGCAAGCGUUAAUCGGAAUUACUGGGCGUAAAGCGCACGCAGGCGGUUUGUUAAGUCAGAUGUGAAAUCCCCGAGCUUAACUUGGGAACUGCAUUUGAAACUGGCAAGCUAGAAUCUCGUAGAGGGGGGUGGAAUUCCAGGUGUAGCGGUGAAAUGCGUAGAGAUCUGGAGGAAUACCGGUGGCGAAGGCGGCCCCCUGGACGAAGACUGACGCUCAGGUGCGAAAGCGUGGGGAGCAAACAGG
rnacentral:rRNA from 1 species